UCAUAUCGAUAAUUCAGUUCAAUAGAAUUAUUUAAGUAUAGCCAAACCCCGUUGGCAAAUUAAAAUUUUGAAAACAUUUUUCGAGAAUGACGUCAUGAUGCCGCACUGUAUUUACAGUCCGUUGAGGAUUCCGUCAUUUGGUGAUUUUAUCAUACUACAUCAUACCAUAGUGGGUUGACGAUCCUGAGAUCACAUCCAACACUAAGUAAUACUGCAUUGAUGACUUCAUCAUUUUUUUAUCAUCUCUGCACCAGGUUACAUGGUACAUAAGUGAUAAAUAAAAAUAACUUUUGACAUUUCAAAUCAUCUGCGUCUAGCCGAAAUAAGUAGCAUAAAUUGUACUUUAAACUGUUUCAAAAAUCUUUGCAAAUCAGUUUUAUCAUCUCAACAGGUAACGAGGUGUCGAUGGCCCGAAGUCCACGCAUACACAAUAAUCACCAGGAGUUGAGAAUAAAAAUUCAUUUUUCAAAAGCACAUAGUGCGUAUUUAGCUUGAUGUCAAAAAUUUGAAGUUUAGCAUAGCUAGGAGUUUAGGAAAACCUAACACCUUUACUAAUAAUCAUUUGCUUAACAAUCUAUCUGUUUCUGUAAUCCACAACACUUCAUUCACACAAAACUAUACCCAGUUCAUCAAACUUACCACACUUAUGAGUUCAGGAACUUACCACAAUUAUAUGAGUUUAAGAACUUUCCUAGAUAGACCUUUGGCGUCCAUUCGCUGAGGGGUCCAUAAACAUUUCAUAUAAUCAUGAGUCACGAACGUACCAUAAGUAUGAGUUUUAAGAACUCGUACUUAA
rnacentral:lncRNA from 1 species